GGGUUGCUCAAAGCACCAUCCAACCCAGUAUUUUCAAGAAUGGGGCAUCCAUAUCUUCUCUGGGCAAAAUCACGAGGUUCAUUUAACAAUUGUGGCACUGAAGUACUAGCAGUGGCACUUUGCAGCCUUAGUUUUACAUUUUCCAAAAUAUUCGCGUACGGAGGGUAGACUUGGUUUUGCGUUUCCUUUGUCUUUGCUUCCAGGAUCUCCUCACGUUUCUCCUGAGCCUUGAAGUGAUGUCAUGGAUAGUGGAAGAUGCUUAUCCUUGAACCGGACACCUCAGAUUCAGUCUGAAAUAUCUGUGUGGCUUGCCAGGGAAACUCAGGCUGUGCAGGAAGAGCAACCUAACCCAGGAAUCCUUCAUGUUGGGAGUUCCUAAGGAAGG